ACACAUGUGAUGCUUGCCCUUGUAUCGUGGGAUGUACAAUUCUGAAAGUCAAAUGUCUGUAGCAGGGUAGUGCCAGGACAACGGCACAUUUUUCUGCAAUUCUUCAAAUAAUAGGCAAUGUCACAAAGGUGAGGCUCCUCUGCAUCGGCAGUGGUCUUGCGGUUGCAGCAGCAGCGGCAGGCGAUGCAGAUGAUGAUCCAGAUGAGGAUGAUGAGGGCGAUGGGGCCCAGCACUGCGGCAAUGAUCCACAACUUCUUGUCCUCCUCAGGGGGUUGGACGGGGACAGGUACAUAGGCUGAGAGGACAGAGAGAGAGUCUGUGUCUACGACAUAUCCGAGUCCGAGGGCUACUUCCUGGUGGUCAAGCAGCUCCAGCGUGUGCACCAUUUUGUCCGACGGAAUCAUCUUCCCAUCCUUCUCGGCCAGUCAGCAUGGCCAAACAGAUAGCUUGGGACAUGGAUCGACCGCUCGAAGUGAGCUCAGUCUGGCUUAUCAAGAUCAAUGAACACUAAUCCGUCGCCUGCGCUUCCAAUCUCAAUUUCAAAAGGACACCGCUUGAUAUACUUUUGUUUUUCCUUAUAAUCUGAAUAGGCAGAAAAUGACAACAUCAGGAGCUACCCACAGGUAGAAAAUAUCGAUCUCAUAGCAUCAGAAAUGUUACUGGAUUAUGAAUUAUAAAUGGAAACCUUUACAAUAACGUGAUACCUUUUCUUCGUUCGACUUCAAUUAAUACAGGUAUUCCCAAUGAUAUUGUGUAUGUUCAGAGAAGAAAAAAUGACAAUGUCAUUUGGGGGACAUGAAUACCGACAGUGAAAUCAAGUUCCGUGACAAGCGUAUUACAUGGAGAAGAAAGCAGAAGAACAUGUAUUACAUGUUAAGUUUGGCAGCUCAAAAUGAACAUCAUAACACGAGUGUCGACUUAACUCACCC